UACCAGCUCUCCGAGUGGUGUGGAUGUUUAUUGGGCCUAAAGCAUCCGUAGCUGGCUGGGCAAGUCCCCUGUUAAAUCCACCGAUUUAAUCGUUGGUGUGCGGGGGAUACUGUUCGGCUAGGGGACGGGAGAGGCCGACGGUAUUUUCGGGGUAGGGGUGAAAUCCUAUAAUCCCGGGAAGACCACCAGUGGCGAAGGCUGUCGGCUAGAACGCGCCCGACGGUGAGGGAUGAAAGCUGGGGGAGCGAACCGGAUUAGAUACCCGGGUAGUCCCAGCUGUAAACGAUGCAGGCUAGGUGUUUGGGCGGCCACGUGCCGCUCUAGUGCCGCAGAGAAGUCGUUAAGCCUGCCGCCUGGGGGAGUACGGCCGCAAGGCUGAAACUUAAAGGAAUUGGCGGGGGAGCACCACAAGGGGUGAAGCUUGCGGUUU
rnacentral:rRNA from 1 species